GGACGUGUGGCUUAGUGGGGGAGCGUCUUCGUUAUAUGCUUACAGGAGUUUAACCAUGAUCACUUCUUUGAUUCUAGACAGCCGCUUGCAGUAAUACAGUUCUAAGGAGACAAUGAAAGGAAGCGCGGGUUCGAUUCCCGCCAUGUCCA
rnacentral:tRNA from 1 species